rnacentral:rRNA from 1 species
GUAGGGAAUAUUGGGCAAUGGAGGCAACUCUGACCCAGCCAUGCCGCGUGAAGGAAGACGGUCCUAUGGAUUGUAAACUUCUUUUAUCAUAGAGUAACCGCAGGGACGUGUCCCUGCCUGCAAGUAUAUGAUGAAUAAGCAUCGGCUAACUCCGUGCCAGCAGCCGCGGUAAUACGGAGGAUGCAAGCGUUAUCCGGAUUUAUUGGGUUUAAAGGGUGCGCAGGCUGACCGGUAAGUCAGGGGUGAAACUUUACAGCUUAACUGUAAACGUGCCUUUGAUACUGCCGGACUAGAGUUUAAGAGACGUAAUUGGAAUGUGAUGUGUAGCGGUGAAAUGCUUAGAUAUAUCACAGAACGCCGAUCGUGAAGACAGAUUACGAACUUAAUACUGACGCUCAUGUACGAAAGCGUGGGGAUCAAACAGGAUUAGAAACCCCAGUAGUCC